GGGGGUGUAGCUCAGUGGUAGAGCGCGUGCUUAGCAUGCACGAGGCCCUGGGUUCGAUCCCCAGCACCUCCA
rfam:Heterocephalus glaber contig212188, whole genome shotgun sequence.